rnacentral:misc_RNA from 1 species
UCAACUAUCAAGCUUGGCUUGUUGUUGGACUUUGUGGUUGAAAUAUGCUUCAAGUCCGAAAAAUAAUGACGGUGUCGUGUUUGACCCUAAAUGCAACGAGCUUUUUUAUAAGCACGCAUUGAAGUGGUUCACCGACCCAGUCUUAACCAUAUAUUUUUUCUAA